rnacentral:tRNA from 1 species
UAGACAUAUAACUCAGUUGGUCAGAGUAUCACGUUGACAUCGUGGAAGUCACUGGUUCAAAUCCAGUUAUGUCUAU